AUGACUCAUUCUUGGGAGUUGAUGCUACGUGACGUGCCAAUACUGGAGGACGACUACACUUCAGAGGAAGAGGAAGAGGCUAAGGAAUAGGGUUUGGGUUGAGAGUCUUUUGUUUUCUGUUGGGGUUGAGAGUUUCCGAAGUGUUGGUAUCGAACAAUUUUAUUGCUUAAAUUCGAAUGAACAAGUUUUGAUGUAAUCUUUAUUUUCAUUCAGGC
rnacentral:lncRNA from 1 species